AGUGAACGCUGGCGGUAGGCCUAACACAUGCAAGUCGAACGGAAGGACAGUAAGCGUUCGCCUUUAAGGGUGGCGAGUGGCGGACGGGUGAGGCAUACAUAACCAACUAAUUAUUCGUGGGGGACAACGUAGGGACACUUCCGAUACUAGCGAAUAUGUCCUACGGCUGAAAGCAGGAGUGAUUGGCAGCUUGCGUGAUUGAAAGAGCUGAUGUCGGAUUAGCUAGUCGGCGGGGUAAGGGCACACCAAGGCGACGAUCCGUAGCUGGUCUGAGAGGAUGAUCAGCCACACUGGAACUGAGACACGGUCCAGACUCCUACGGGAGGCAGCAGUGGGGAAUAUUGGGCAAUGGGCGCAAGCCUGAUCCAGCCACACCGCGUGGGUGAAGAAGGCCUUCGGGUUGUAAAGCCCUUUUAUUAGGAAAGAAAAGCAGCAGGUUAAUACCCCGCUGUUCUGACGGUACCCAAAGAGUAAGCACCGGCUAACUUCGUG
rnacentral:rRNA from 1 species